rnacentral:misc_RNA from 1 species
GCUCUAGUGUCCAAGUUGGUUGCAGGAGAUAUACAGGAAUCAUAGGUACCAGCACAGAACCAAUUAUCCAGCCGACGACAAGGGAGGCGAAUCCAGUUAUUGAGGCCCUGAGCACAUUCUUCAUCUUGUCAUUAAGGAAGUAGAUACACGAUCCCAACGAUAGCAAGACCUGGAAAGCAGGUCCACUCUCAGUAGAAUGUGUAACACUCCAAACCCCCAAAAACGCAAAAAGGAAAAAUCUCCGAAGGAUGAUGUCCAUCGGAGGAAGCUCAACAUAACUCAGCAAUGUUUGCACCCAAGGAGGUGAUUCUUCUACUUUCUUUUUCAACCUGCUUUUCAGAUUUAUCUUUGAUUUCUUCCUUUCCCUGAAACUCGUCAUUAGGAUCUUCUCAUAAGCAGCUUCAACAGAUUCCACACUUCUCUCGUGUCCAGCAUAUUGUUCCAGAAGAAAGUUUCUUGCCCCUCUGAUUUCUUCCUCAGAAGCAUCACGAGUUACACCAAG